rnacentral:siRNA from 1 species
UCGUUCCCCACAGACGGCGCCA